AGAGCCAGGCCUUUGACAUUCAAGAUGGAAUCAAGUGAUGCAUGGAGUUACUCGGGGGCAAAUUCUGGUAAUCCUCAAUGCUUUCUUUAUAAUUUGGACUCAAGAACCAGCUCUACGGCCAGAUAAUUGGAUCUGAUUGAUGCAGUUAAGUCCUGAUAUUAUUUGGAAGAUAAGAACGGUGGUGGAAUCUCUGCAUUGAUUUUGUAGGGAUUGCAUUGAUAAAUCCAUGCGGCUUGGGUAUGUUCCUAGAUAUUAUCUGUUAAGACUGGAAGUACAUUUAUGUUGGUCAGCUCUCCAUCCCAAGCAAAAACUUGCAAAGAUAGCAGGCCCAAGCUUGUUGCUGGUUCCCCAGAAGGAUUUCCUGGUCAUGUUGAUGGGAAGGUUCGAGAGGCAAGGAUGAACCAUCCAAAGGGAUUUACAGUGGAUGACAGGGGUAACAUCUAUGUGGCUGAUGCCAUGAACAUGGCCAUUAGAAAGAUCAGUGAUACAGGUAAGCUAAAAUGUCCUGUGGUAGUGUAGAUCCAUAUGCUUUUGUUUGUUCCUUGUGCAUCCUAUGUUUGCCUUUUGGUUCUAUAGCUGGUCUUGUCCAGCAUGUAUUCAGCAACUGGAUCCAAAACUACAUUCCAAAAUAUUAAACUGGUCUUGAGUAAAUCAGCUUUGAGUCUCUGCAAUGCAUUGUGAUGUCGGAAUAUUAAACUGAGUGCUAAUUACUGAAAGUUUCAUUUAGAACAGCCAACUUUGGGUUUCAAAUGGCUUUGUCUGCAAAUCAGUUCUUUAGUUGGCUUUGUUCUCUGUUCUCAACCUCCUGUUGUAAUUUUGCAGACUUAUUUGCAUUUUUAGAGCUGUUUUCAGCGUCAUUCAGUGCUUACCCUACAGGCAGCUCUGGAAGCAUAUCUGGUGACUCUGUUCAAGGAAACAAAUCUGUGAGAGGGCUUAGGUUCUCUGCUGUCCUAUCCUAGGAUAUUAAGGAUCCAAACGAUACUAUGAAAUUAAACUGUGUAAAUGAUGUACUCUCCUGGUUUGAUUAUGCUUGUAAAAACUCCAGUUAUGGACUUGUGGUUGGUGAUGAUGGGAAAUUUAGAACCCGUGCUUAUUUUGUAA